UUAAUGAGGCGAACCGGGGGAACUGAAACAUCUAAGUACCCCGAGGAAAAGAAAUCAACCGAGAUUCCCCCAGUAGCGGCGAGCGAACGGGGAGCAGCCCAGAGCCUGAAUCAGUGUGUGUGUUAGUGGAAGCGUCUGGAAAGGCGCGCGAUACAGGGUGACAGCCCCGUACACAAAAAUGCACAUACUGUGAGCUCGAUGAGUAGGGCGGGACACGUGGUAUCCUGUCUGAAUAUGGGGGGACCAUCCUCCAAGGCUAAAUACUCCUGACUGACCGAUAGUGAACCAGUACCGUGAGGGAAAGGCGAAAAGAACCCCGGCGAGGGGAGUGAAAAAGAACCUGAAACCGUGUACGUACAAGCAGUGGGAGCACGCUUAGGCGUGUGACUGCGUACCUUUUGUAUAAUGGGUCAGCGACUUAUAUUCUGUAGCAAGGUUAACCGAAUAGGGGAGCCGAAGGGAAACCGAGUCUUAACUGGGCGUUAAGUUGCAGGGUAUAGACCCGAAACCCGGUGAUCUAGCCAUGGGCAGGUUGAAGGUUGGGUAACACUAACUGGAGGACCGAACCGACUAAUGUUGAAAAAUUAGCGGAUGACUUGUGGCUGGGGGUGAAAGGCCAAUCAAACCGGGAGAUAGCUGGUUCUCCCCGAAAGCUAUUUAGGUAGCGCCUCGUGAAUUCAUCUCCGGGGGUAGAGCACUGUUUCGGCAAGGGGGUCAUCCCGACUUACCAACCCGAUGCAAACUGCGAAUACCGGAGAAUGUUAUCACGGGAGACACACGGCGGGUGCUAACGUCCGUCGUGAAGAGGGAAACAACCCAGACCGCCAGCUAAGGUCCCAAAGUCAUGGUUAAGUGGGAAACGAUGUGGGAAGGCCCAGACAGCCAGGAUGUUGGCUUAGAAGCAGCCAUCAUUUAAAGAAAGCGUAAUAGCUCACUGGUCGAGUCGGCCUGCGCGGAAGAUGUAACGGGGCUAAACCAUGCACCGAAGCUGCGGCAGCGACGCUGAUGCGUUGUUGGGUA
rnacentral:rRNA from 1 species